ACUGAUAGAUUUUGGUCGCCAACGAGUGGCGGACGGGUGAGUAACACGUAGGUAACCUGCCCAGAAGCGGGGGACAACAUUUGGAAACAGAUGCUAAUACCGCAUAACAACGUUGUUCGCAUGAACAACGCUUAAAAGAUGGCUUCUCGCUAUCACUUCUGGAUGGACUGCGGUGCAUUAGCUUGUUGGUGGGUAACGGCCUACCAAGGGCGAUGAUGCAUAGCCGAGUUGAGAGACUGAUCGGCCACAAUGGGACUGAGACACGGCCCAUACUCCUACGGGAGGCAGCAGUAGGGAAUCUUCCACAAUGGGCGCAAGCCUGAUGGAGCAACACCGCGUGAGUGAAGAAGGGUUUCGGCUCGUAAAGCUCUGUUGUUAAAGAAGAACACGUAUGAGAGUAACUGUUCAUACGUUGACGGUAUUUAACCAGAAAGUCACGGCUAACUACGUGCCAGCAGCCGCGGUAAUACGUAGGUGGCAAGCGUUAUCCGGAUUUAUUGGGCGUAAAGAGAGUGCAGGCGGUUUUCUAAGUCUGAUGUGAAAGCCUUCGGCUUAACCGGAGAAGUGCAUCGGAAACUGGAUAACUUGAGUGCAGAAGAGGGUAGUGGAACUCCAUGUGUAGCGGUGGAAUGCGUAGAUAUAUGGAAGAACACCAGUGGCGAAGGCGGCUACCUGGUCUGCAACUGACGCUGAGACUCGAAAGCAUGGGUAGCGAACAGGAUUAGAUACCCUGGUAGUCCAUGCCGUAAACGAUGAGUGCUAGGUGUUGGAGGGUUUCCGCCCUUCAGUGCCGGAGCUAACGCAUUAAGCACUCCGCCUGGGGAGUACGACCGCAAGGUUGAAACUCAAAGGAAUUGACGGGGGCCCGCACAAGCGGUGGAGCAUGUGGUUUAAUUCGAAGCUACGCGAAGAACCUUACCAGGUCUUGACAUCUUGCGCCAACCCUAGAGAUAGGGCGUUUCCUUCGGGAACGCAAUGACAGGUGGUGCAUGGUCGUCGUCAGCUC
rnacentral:rRNA from 2 species